rnacentral:rRNA from 1 species
UACGUAGGGUGCGAGCGUUGUCCGGAAUUAUUGGGCGUAAAGGGCUCGUAGGCGGUUUGUCGCGUCGGGAGUGAAAACUCAGGGCUUAACCCUGAGCCUGCUUCCGAUACGGGCAGACUGGAGUUCGGCAGGGGAGACUGGAAUUCCUGGUGUAGCGGUGAAAUGCGCAGAUAUCAGGAGGAACACCGGUGGCGAAGGCGGGUCUCUGGGCCGAUACUGACGCUGAGGAGCGAAAGCGUGGGGAGCGAACAGG